CAUUAUGAACAACGGUUUUGUUAUUAUUACAACUUUGGUUGUUGGUGUUAUCGUGCAUGCGCAGGCUGCCAUACAACCUAAGAUAAUAUCUAUGAUUGCAAAAUUGAACUUACUGAAAUGAUGUUAUCAACAAUUAAUGCAUCGUUAAGUUAGCCCACGAAUGUUGUAGAUAAUAAUACAGUGAUGCCCACGUAGGUUACCAAGUAAUACAACUGCAUUAGUAGUCAAAUGGUCGAAUGGAGUGGGUAGUUCAUCAUAGAAAUCUUGUACAUUUAAAUUUAAUAAACGUUACCGAAAAAGUUAACAUUACAAGCUUGUAUAAUGUAUAUUGUCUGAUAGUUCUAAUAAAAUAGAUAUUUAAACAAAUUAUUUAAGUUGGUUUAGUCGAUGAUUUCGUUUUUUUACAUUUUGUAUGUGUUUAUUUCAAUAUCCCUACCUAUAAUUAUUGUUGUAAUAAACUAAUAAUCUAUCCAUUUAUAUUUAAAUAUUUUGUUAUGAGUUUUUCACCGACCUUUGACCCUUG